UUGUACCGGUCACUGCAGGUAUAAUAGCCACCAUGCUUACAGAUGGUACCAUAUCCCCAACGGUCAUUGGUCACAACUGUGUCCCGAACUGGGCUGAAAUAUAAUUGUUUAAACAAAACAUAAAAUAUUUUACAUAAAAGGAAAUGUCACUGGAAAGAUGUCAAACUGAAACCCACUUCUGAAAGAUCAUCAUAACAAUAUAAUGCAAAGCCCAUGGUUUGGAAGUCAAAUAGAUGUGGGUUGGCUGCAAUCCUGGCUCUGUCACUUUCUAAGCUCCCUAUCCCAGUGUAAGGGACCUAACUCCUCUGAAGAAUCAAUUUCCUCAACUGCUAUUAGAGCAGAAAUAAUUUAUGUAAAACACCUUGCCCAUAGCAAGGGCAAGUAAUCAGCACAUAGAGCACUUAUAAGACUAUCAUAUUAUUAUUUGAAGCUCCUUGUCCCACAUAUUAUGAAUGAUAAUCAGAUUUGAAUUUAUACUCAAAAUAUUCUUCUCACCUAUGACUGAAUAAUCUCAUACAUACAUUCUAGUCUUCCUCCUACAGUUGUGUCUAAGGUUGAAAAAUCGCCGGCAAGUGGACUGCUGCCAUCAUGAAAUCUACAAUGGCACGAAAUAAACCCCACAACGUUAUCAUCAGAGCAGGACAAGUCUAAGAUGGACACAGUCUUCGGAUUCCUUUUCAGGAAGAGUUUAAAGCAUCUCGCUCUUGUUCCAAAGGAGUUUGUGAUACUCUUCCACCACCUCUGACUUUUAUGGGCACCAUUGCAGUCCCAUCAUCUUUGUCCCUCUGGAUGAUCUGCGUCACUUUUAUCACUGGCAAACCAUCCACCAUUUGGCCACCUAAGAGUUGGCCAAAAGUGCAGCAAGGUGAAUAAAUAAAAUCAAGAAAGAAAGAAAGACGGGCAAUUCUAAUCAUAAACUUGGAGCUGCAAUCCACAUCUCACUUCAAAUAGCUUUAAAUGAAAUCUUGGAAAUAUUGCUAAAUAUGCACAUAACAAAAUGUGAUUAUUUAUCUUUUUUAUUUGGGGUUUUCUUUGUUUGUUUUUAUGUGGUGGGGAGGUGUCUGAUCAUUCUACAAACCUUAUGCCUCUCAACCGGAUGAAAUACGUGGUCCCUUAAAUUACAGGCAAAAGUCAGUAACCACUAACUGCUGCUCCUAAGAGAAAACUAAUUUCAUGUGCUUUAGUUUCUUCUUCCAAAAGAACUACUUUACAUUUCAUAACUACUGUCAGCAUUUGCAAAUGUUGCAUUUAUUUACCUUCAU